CGACAGGGAGCGGAACCCGAAAGACCUGUCUCAGUUCGGAUUGGAGUCUGNAACCCGACUCCAUGAAGCUGGAUUCGCUAGUAAUCGCGCAUCAGCCACGGCGCGGUGAAUACGUUCCCGGGCCUUGUACACACCGCCCGUCAAGCCAUGGAAGCCGGGGGUGCCUGAAGUGCGCUGCCGCAAGGAGCGCCCUAGGGUAAAACCGGUGACUGGGGCUAAGUCGUAACAAGGUACC
rnacentral:rRNA from 1 species